rnacentral:rRNA from 1 species
GCAUCGAUGAAGAACGCAGCGAAAUGCGAUAAGUAAUGUGAAUUGCAGAAUUCAGUGAAUCAUCGAAUCUUUGAACGCACAUUGCGCCCAUUAGUAUCCUAGUGGGCAUGCCUGUUCGAGCGUCAUUUCAACCCUUAAGCCUAGCUUAGUGUUGGGAGCCUACUGCUUUUGCUAGCUGUAGCUCCUGAAAUACAACGGCGGAUCUGCGAUAUCCUCUGAGCGUAGUAAAUUUUUAUCUCGCUUUUGACUGGAGUUGCAGCGUCUUUGGCCGCUAAAUCCCCCAAUUUUUAAUGGUUGACCUCGGAUCAGGUAGGAAUACCCGCUGAACUUAAGCAUAUCAAUAAGCGGAGGA